AACGAACGCUGGCGGCAUGCCUAACACAUGCAAGUCGAACGAAGGCUUCGGCCUUAGUGGCGGACGGGUGCGUAACGCGUGGGAAUCUGCCCUUUGGUUCGGAAUAACAGCUGGAAACGGCUGCUAAUACCGGAUGAUGACGAAAGUCCAAAGAUUUAUCGCCCGAGGAUGAGCCCGCGUUGGAGUAGGUAGUUGGUGGGGUAAAGGCCUACCAAGCCGACGAUCCAUAGCUGGGCUGAGAGGAUGAUCAGCAACACUGGGACUAGGACACGGCCCAGACUCCUCCGGGAGGCAGCAGUGCGUAAUAUUGGACAAUGGCCGCAGGCCUGAUCCAGCAAGGCCGCGAGAGUGAUGUAGUCCCUAGCGUUGUAAAGCUCCAUUACCCGGGAAGAUAAUGACUGUACCGGGAGAAUAAGCCCCGGCUAACUCCGUG
rnacentral:rRNA from 1 species